CCGGGGCCCAGGGUUAGGGUUUUAGGGUCAGGGCCCGGGGCCCAGGGUUAGGGUGAUUUCCAGGAAGUGACCUCACAACGACUCAAGCUACCACUUAUUGUUGAUUGUGAUGAAAUGCCAGCUGAGGCACACACCUUGGGAGCUAAGUGGUUGCUGCACUUGACUACUAUGAAGACUGGUGUGGGAAGGGUCGCUUUGGAUGCACUUGAGCAGGGGUCCCCAACCCCUGAGCCAUGGAGCCGUAAGGAGCCACACAGCAGGUGAGUGGUGUCGAGUGAGGGAGUGAGGGAAGCUUCGUCUGUAUUUACAGCCACUCCCCUUUGCUCACAUUCCCGCCUGAGCUCCACCUUCUCAGAUGAGCAGCAGCAUUAGAUUCUCAUAGGAGAACGCACCCUGUUGUGAACCGUGCAUGUGAGGGAUCUAGGUUGCGCUGUUCUUAUGAGAAUCUAAUACCUAUUGAUCUGUCACUUUCUCCCAUCACGCUCAGGUGGGACCAUCCAGUUUCAGGAAAACAAGCUUAACACGCCCACUGAUUCUACAUUAUGCUCCUACCUCCCGGCAGCCUCGCCAGGCCCAGAACUCUCUCCAGUCAGCCUCUACAGACCAAGCUCAUGACUCACAAUGGCCUAUUUAGGCCCAUACCCUACCUCACGGCAGUCUCCGCAGAUGAGCCUACUGCCUCACAACAGCCUCCACAGGCACAGCUCCAUCGUUCCAAUGGCCUCUUUAGACCCAGCUCCUGCCGCCCAGCCUUCUCUCCAGGCCCUGAACUUUCUCCGUGGGACCAUCCAGUUUCAGGAAAACAAGCUUAACACGCCCACUGAUUCUACAUUAUGCUCCUACCUCCCGGCAGCCUCGCCAGGCCCAGAACUCUCUCCAGUCAGCCUCUACAGACCAAGCUCAUGACUCACAAUGGCCUAUUUAGGCCCAUACCCUACCUCACGGCAGUCUCCGCAGAUGAGCCUACUGCCUCACAACAGCCUCCACAGGCACAGCUCCAUCGUUCCAAUGGCCUCUUUAGACCCAGCUCCUGCCGCCCAGCCUUGUCUCCAGGCCCUGAACUUUCUCCGUGGGACCAUCCAGUUUCAGGAAAACAAGCUUAACACGCCCACUGAUUCUACAUUAUGCUCCUACCUCCCGGCAGCCUCGCCAGGCCCAGAACUCUCUCCAGUCAGCCUCUACAGACCAAGCUCAUGACUCACAAUGGCCUAUUUAGGCCCAUACCCUACCUCACGGCAGUCUCCGCAGAUGAGCCUACUGCCUCACAACAGCCUCCACAGGCACAGCUCCAUCGUUCCAAUGGCCUCUUUAGACCCAGCUCCUGCCGCCCAGCCUUGUCUCCAGGCCCUGAACUUUCUCCGUAAGUUGAGGUAGCUGGGACUGUAGGUAUACAUGAUGAUACUUGGCUAAUUUUUACAUUGUUUUGCAGACAUGGGGUCUCACUUUGUUGGCCAGGCUGCUGUCAAACUAAUGGCCUCAAGUGACCCUUCCACCCCAGCCUCCCAUCCUCGAGGUAUGUGCCACCACAAGGAGCACUUGUUCAAUUUUCUAAAGAAAAAAUUUCUGAAGUAAGGCUGUGGGAUGAUGGCAGGAAGAUAAAAGAAAAACAGAAGAAUAAGUUAAAAUGACUUAUUCACACAUAUUCUUUUGACAGCAAGAAGAACUGUUAGUAUAUACAUUGCUUACAAACAAACAAACGGCAGAUAAACAAUGUUGUAUAGGAAUUUCAACACACACUGUACAAUAUUCCCACUUUGCUGACAUAAGUUAUGGAAAUUUCGUGGUUUACUUGAGUGUCGCUACCAGUAUUUUGCUCCUCUGAUGAUUUUUAUCAACUUCCUCAUCUGUUAACUUCUCUCCAAAGUAUGUCAUGUCACGACAUACUGCCGCUGCACGAACACGGCCAGUGUCUUCCUAUUAAACAUGUAGAA